rnacentral:lncRNA from 1 species
GCCAUUUAAGACAUCUACCUGCUUCUCCUUUGCCUUCCAUCAUGACUGAAAGUUGUCUGAGGUCUCCCAGCCACGUGUCCUGUACAGCCUGUGGAACUACUUUAAAGAAGAAUCAGAAAAUGGAGACUGGGAUUGGAAGCAGAGAUCCGAUGGCCAAAUUACAGUCUGCCACUGAAGCUAACACACCUAUGGAUAACCCAACCUGUAAACUCAAUGUGGAACACAGUUUGAGAAAAGAAGUGAGAAGAUUCAAUUUUGAAGUUGGAUCACUCUCCUACAGGCAAUGAAGACCACAUCACUGAUGAACUCUGACUAAUACAUCAUGAACUUGCAGAAUUUUGGAUAUUUGACAAAUCUGAGGAAUUGAAGAGACGGGCACCUCACCUUUUCUGAGCAGAAGAGUUCAUUUGAUGAAACCUGAAGUAGAGAGCA